CGCAGCAGCACUAGUAAGCGGAGAGGUGAGGGGGAAGGUCGCUGGACGCUGGGCUAUUGGACCUGAUUUACAUAACGCCGAACAACAACACGGUUCUUUGCGGAAACGACCUGGCCAACAGAUACUCAUGCAAAUAUCGGGAGUUACGGUCUGAACUCCCAGAGGAGGUAUGGGUCGUGCGCAUCGCUCUGCCUGCUCUAGAGUUGGAAAAACACAACUCAGGUCAUCGUCCACGCAAAUUAGCUGCACAUCAUGAGGAAACCGAAUCCAUCGUUCAAAGAUCCUAAGCAAUUCAGCAAGCAAACUUUUUUUUCCACGACAGCUGUUGCUCAAUAUCUAUUACUAAUAUCGAUUUUUUUAAUAUCUAUUUUUGUAUGUUGUCGGUAUGAACUCUUAGAAUAGGGAACCCCUUUAACCGUUAACGAUAUCUGGUCAUCAGACUGCAGGCUUUUCUCCAAACACAACAAGGUCUGUCUUUUAACAUCCUGUGUGUGUGUGUGUGUUUGUGUCUAUGUGUGUGAUUGUUUGUAUGUUUUGUUUGUGGUUUGUGUGUAAUCGUUUUUGCCUGUGUGAUUGUUUGUCUGCUUAGCAUGUCUCUGUGUGUGUGUGUGUGUGUGUGCGUGCGUGCGUGUGUGCGUGCGUGCGCGCGCGUGUGUGCGUGAGUGUGUGUGUGCACGUGUAUGCGUCCAAACAGCAAAAUGGCCGCUAAUAAUUGCCUUCCAGAAGAAGCCAUCUGCCACUGCUUCCUGUUUAUCAUUUAAUCCAAACAAACAGCUGGGGUGUAUGAAGCACAGAGCCAGGCCCUACACGGCCCUGUGUUCGGUGGGGUUGUAGGAGCAAGCAAGGACACAGGGAAGUCUCUAAAUGUAUUAUUAAUAAUAUUAACAAUAAUAACUCACUAUUAGUCGUUAAUCAUCAACAGAAAGUUACUGCUUUUUAAGGGCCGCUGUCCAAAUAGCAUGUUUUUCGGAGUGGCUCUGACUUUCCGCAGUGAGUUUCCAAUGAGGACCUAGCGAACGCAGCUUUAAAGAAACAACUUUUCUGAAAAUCUCGGAGGUUUCCAUCACCGUUGCUUUACGCCAGUCACCCAACAAACGUUUAAUUUCAUAAAAGGAUUUUCCCACGUCGAAGUGGACAGAAAGCUGCAAAGUGACCCGGACGUGGACCGUAACCCCUGACGUUUGAGGGGACAAUGGCGUUAUGGGAUCAUAACAAAGUCAUUAGCGCCCCAGCACUAUUUACUUGGAAAGUAUUCGUGGCCGCAUUCCGGUUCAGCCUCGGAGAUGCGUGCGCACCACGCUGCCAGGUUUUACAAGGCCAUCCAAAACAGAGUUGGUCACGGUUGAGUUUUACAUUACUCAGUUAGUUUCCAAAUAUCCUUUCUCAAUAAAGGGAGGAAGUAAUCCUUUCACUAGGAUUACUCCCCGCUGAAAAGAUAACUACUGUUUGAGGCGUUGAAAGGCCCCCCAUGUCAUGCUCUUUCAUGAUGAGUUGCCGAGGACUAGACGUUGCGCACAUGGCCAAUGAAUACACAAUGUUCAGCAUCAUGCAUUCAUCUUCUGCAGCCGUGGUAGACCAGACAAAAUAAACCAUUGUAAGCAAAAAAAUGUAGUCUGAAUUAUGGCAGAAUUAUCAAAUAAGACACCGUGGUCAAGCUGACAGUGGCAUAAUUCUUUACAGUAGGCUUAUAAUAAAGUAGCCUGCAGACAAUGCGAGUCGUUACGCAAGAAACAGAUAAUGGCAAGUUUAUUCUAUAGAAGUGGCAUGUAUUAUAGAUAUACAGAAAAAAAUGUAGCCUAGGCUAUGCUUGUUAAAAGCCCGGAGGCAAAAGUGCAUAUGCAUUGCAAAUAUAUGCGCAAAUCGAAAUGAUGUAGAGAUCUUACAUCUAUAACCAUGCAAAGUGUGUGUGUGUGUGUGUGUGUGUGUGUGUGUGUGUGUGUGUGUGUGUGUGUGUGUGUGUGUGUGUGUGUGUGUGUGUGUG